rnacentral:rRNA from 1 species
AUCAUGGCUCAGGAUGAACGCUGCGCGUGCCUAAUACAUGCAAGUCGAACGAGAAGUCUUCGGACUUCGAGUGGCGAACGGGUGAGUAACACGUAUUCAAUCUGCCCUAACGACUGGGAUACCCUCGGGAAACCUUGGCUAAUACCGGAUAGGAAUUUUGAUCGCAUGAUCGAAAUUUUAAAGGAUCUUUUGAUUCACGAUAGGAUGAGAAUGCGGCGCAUUAGUUAGUUGGUGAGAUAAAAGCCCACCAAGACGAGGAUGCGUAGCCGACCUGAGAGGGUGAUCGGCCACAAUGGAACUGAGACACGGUCCAUACUCCUACGGGAGGCAGCAGUAGGGAGUUUUCGGCAAUGGGGGAAACCCUAACCGAGCAACGCCGCGUGAGUGAUGAAGGCCCUAUGGGUCGUAAAAUUCUGUUAUAUGGRAMRAACCAUAUCACUGAGAGAAACGGUGAUAUCUGACUGUACCAUAUGAGAAAGGAACGGCUAACUACGUGCCAGCAGCCGCGGUAAUACGUAGGUUCCAAGCGUUAUCCGGAAUUAUUGGGCGUAAAGAGUGAGCAGGCGGCUUUUCAAGUCUGAAGUCAAAUCCGGUGGCUUAACCAUCGUUCGCUUUGGAAACUAGAAAGCUAGAGUUCGGGAGAGGUAAAUGGAACUCCAUGUGUAGCGGUAAAAUGCGUAGAUAUAUGGAAGAACACCAGUGGCGAAGGCGAUUUACUAGACCGAUACUGACGCUCAGUCACGAAAGCGUGGGUAGCAAAUAGGAUUAGAUACCCUAGUAGUCCACGCCCUUAACGAUGAGUACUAAGUGUAGGGGUUACCCUGUGCUGAAGCUAACGCAUUAAGUACUCCGCCC